AGAGUUUGAUCCUGGCUCAGGACGAAUGCUGGCGGCGUGCUUAACACAUGCAAGUCGAACGGAAAGGCCCUUCGGGGUACUCGAGUGGCGAACGGGUGAGUAACACGUGGGUGAUCUGCCCUGCACUUUGGGAUAAGCCUGGGAAACUGGGUCUAAUACCGAAUAUGACCAUGCACUUCCUGGUGUGUGGUGGAAAGCUUUUGCGGUGUGGGAUGGGCCCGCGGCCUAUCAGCUUGUUGGUGGGGUAAUGGCCUACCAAGGCGACGACGGGUAGCCGGCCUGAGAGGGUGACCGGCCACACUGGGACUGAGAUACGGCCCAGACUCCUACGGGAGGCAGCAGUGGGGAAUAUUGCACAAUGAGCGCAAGCCUGAUGCAGCGACGCCGCGUGAGGGAUGACGGCCUUCGGGUUGUAAACCUCUUUCAGCACAGACGAAGCGCAAGUGACGGUAUGUGCAGAAGAAGGACCGGCCAACUACGUGCCAGCAGCCGCGGUAAUACGUAGGGUCCGAGCGUUGUCCGGAAUUACUGGGCGUAAAGAGCUCGUAGGUGGUUUGUCGCGUUGUUCGUGAAAACUCACAGCUUAACUGUGGGCGUGCGGGCGAUACGGGCAGACUUGAGUACUGCAGGGGAGACCGGAAUUCCUGGUGUAGCGGUGGAAUGCGCAGAUAUCAGGAGGAACACCGGUGGCGAAGGCGGGUCUCUGGGCAGUAACUGACGCUGAGGAGCGAAAGCGUGGGGAGCGAACAGGAUUAGAUACCCUGGUAGUCC
rnacentral:rRNA from 1 species